CCUACGGGAGGCAGCAGUAAGGAAUCUUCCGCAAUGGGCGAAAGCCUGACGGAGCAACGCCGCGUGGGCGAUGAAGGCCUUCGGGUCGUAAAGCCCUUUUCUGUGGGACGAUAAUGACGGUACCACAGGAAUAAGCCACGGCUAACUACGUGCCAGCAGCCGCGGUAAUACGUAGGUGGCUAGCGUUAUCCGGAUUCACUGGGCGUAAAGCGCUUGCAGGCGGUCUGAUAAGUUGGACGUGAAAGCCCUGAGCUUAACUGGGGGAGGCCGUUCAAUACUGUCAGGCUAGAGGGAGGCAGAGGAGAGUGAAAUUCCCGGGGUAGCGGUAAAAUGCAUAGAUAUCGGGAGGAACACCGGUGGCGAGGGC
rnacentral:rRNA from 1 species